CUUGGGAUCUGCUUUUGAAGAUAUCUCAACCAAGGGUCUACCCGACAUCGCUCCCUCAUUUACCCAACGACAUGACUCAUCUGAACCCAUCCCUGAAAAUGUGUCAGCUGACGUUCAUGAUCCUGAAGUCUCUGAUGAUGUAUUGGCCGAGUCAACUGCUGUGACUACCUUGAGCACAUCACCGACGUCUGCUGACUCUGAUCCUAUUACCGAUACGUCUCUGAGGCGUACAAAACGUCACAGGUCACCGCCUAAACGACUUCAAUAUUCAGAGCUUGGCAAUCCUUUGGUGUCAGUUGUACAAUCUCUGUUGCAUGGUCUCUCAGAUGCUCUAGGCACCACUACCACCAAUUCUGGUUCUUCAGUCAUACAUGUGUAGUGAUAACAUGCAGCGGGACGUGCAUGGAUUUGAGGGGGGAGGGUGUAGCCCAGUGUUUUACCAAGUUAUGGUGAAUUCCUACACUCUUCUGUCAUUUAAUGCACCAUGCCUAAGUCAUGUGACAUUGAUCACAUGAUCAAAGGCCUGCACUGGCUUCCUCCCUGCAGACAUGUGGGGGAAAGCCAAGUGACAGAGCUGUUGCAGGUCAGUACAUCAAAAACCAAAGCUUUUUCAUAAUGCAUUUGUUUGACAUUCACUAAGAUAUUACUUGACUCAGACACCGACAACUGUGAGCUGGAGCCUUGUAGGGUCAUCAUACACCAUACAGAAGCUGGAAUUGGCCAGGUGACCCUUUAAGGGUUUAAGGAUGGCGAGCUAACGAUUGGCCAGGGGCCAGAAGACCUCUCCUUCAUCUUCCUACUGGUCUGGUAGGAAGUUGUCUCAGACAACGCUCUGUCCACCCCCAACUCCUUAAUCAAUUCUUGGAUUCACACACCUCCCUUUUCAGUACUCUUUGACAAAGCGCUUGGAUAACUUUCAUGGACACUCGGAUCACAUCCUGGACAAUUAAUUCGGUGUGAAUUCAUUGGAUUUUCAAGUCCUGCAAAGGAGUGUUAACUAUUCAGGGGAUCAGACCGAAGUCAGAGUGUUCCUCUAGAACGUUCACUAGAACUAGAACUUUCAAAGUGCACUUUAACUUAUUUAUCAGUGCUGCAGCAGUGGAACCUGUUAAUUUGUGUUUGUUUAUUUUAUUUAUAAUUAUUCAAUAUAUUGUCUUUGCAAACUA